rnacentral:rRNA from 1 species
UGGGGAAUAUUGCACAAUGGGCGAAAGCCUGAUGCAGCAACGCCGCGUGAGUGAUGAAGGUCUUCGGAUUGUAAAGCUCUGUCUUUUGGGACGAUAAUGACGGUACCAAAGGAGGAAGCCACGGCUAACUACGUGCCAGCAGCCGCGGUAAUACGUAGGUGGCGAGCGUUGUCCGGAUUUACUGGGCGUAAAGGGUGCGUAGGCGGAUGUUUAAGUGAGAUGUGAAAUACCCGGGCUUAACUUGGGUGCUGCAUUUCAAACUGGAUAUCUAGAGUGCAGGAGGGGAGAAUGGAAUUCCUAGUGUAGCGGUGAAAUGCGUAGAGAUUAGGAAGAACACCAGUGGCGAAGGCGAUUCUCUGGACUGUAACUGACGCUGAGGCACGAAAGCGUGGGUAGCAAACAGGAUUAGAUACCCUGGUAGUCCACGCCGUAAACGAUGAGUACUAGGUGUAGGAGGUAUCGACCCCUUCUGUGCCGCAGUAAACACAUUAAGUACUCCGCCUGGGAAGUACGAUCGCAAGAUU